rnacentral:lncRNA from 1 species
UAAGAGGAAGGAAGAGACUUCACUUUAUUAAGCUGCAAAUGCCUCAUACACGCGACGAUGUCGUUUACCGAACCCGACCCGAGAGAACGAUUAAAUAAAGAAGAAGACUCUGAGUCGUCUCGUGGACUCACCGGCGGCGAACCGGAGGUCGGAGAAAUCGAAAACUGAAACGCCCUACGAAUCGGAGACACACCGUCGAAAGAAUCAACUCGAUCGGGGCUUUGGUUCGGCAAAACCCUGAUCUGAUCCGGCGAAUGAGCGAAGAAACAAACACGACGGCGACAGUUACCACCGUCUUUACACGGCUGAGUCCGAUAACGCGCCGGAUGAAGCCAGCACUCGAAAACGCCGUGAGAGAACUCACACGCGUCUCCUUUUUUGCAACCGCCUUUGCGAAACUCAGGACACGCCGUACCGGAGUAAUGAUACUUCCUCGGAUCUCGACGGCGAGCUUUCUCUCCGGGAUGAGCGUAAGGGCACUCCGUCCAGUCGUGGCUCCGGCCACGAGUGCAUCGCCGGACUUUAAACUCGUACAUCCGGAAAUGAUCACAUGAGUACGUAUCGAUUGCCGAAUCUGGACCGGACAGUUCCGGGUCAGAAUCCAGAUCCGGCUCAUUCGACGGAAGAUAACGCUGUAACGCAGCCAAAGCCUCGAGCAUGCUAUUUCCGCCGUCAGGACUUCCGUAAAUAUCAACCGCCGUUAGAUCGUCGUUAAGUGGCCAUGGAGGAAUCUGAACCGUUGGAUAAGCACGAUGAGUUUCUCCGAUCAUCAUUUUUUAAAAUGUUUGAGAAGAAAUAAAAUCACAUUCGUUUUCUCCGGUGAGUUUUUGUUUUGUGUUUGCUAAAUCUCCGGCAAUGCUUUGGUACUAUAUAAACUGAUGCUGAGUAGUGGGGUAUACUUAAACCACGUUCAGGUUAAACACUUAACCAUGGUUAAGUUAUCUGCUUUUUUCAACCACGGUUAAAUCCAAAGUGAGUUGCUCGCGUGACGAAUCUGUGAGAUAGGGGGGAGAAAACAGCGGCGUGAGACUUUACCACGAAGCUUUAUUGAUGACGUGGACGAGUUGUAUGUUGCUUUAUGUGACAGCUCCGUGAGCGAGCGGCUGCGAAAAUAAUAAAAUUAAAAGGACACACGAGUACAACGACCCAUCCCAAACUCGACAAGACAGAAAAUGAUCACCGACUUGUUUAGAACAUAAUCACACUCUCCGAUAAUAAUGUUUACGGACGUUAAUCACAUCACAAACACCACUUCACGCAUGCUUCUAAAUAAAUAGAACUAAACAAAUCAUUAGUUGAAAAGAAACAAUAAAUAAAUGUACACUUAGUGUUCAUAGCAAAAAUAAUAAUUUACAUACUCAUUACGUUCAUUAAUAGUAGAUUACAAGAGUUGCAUCCAGCAUAACAAAAUAAAAUUACAAAAUAUUUAUAAUAUAUAUUAGACUUUAAUCAUUUAAAAAUCCUAAGCAUCUCCCCCGGCGAUACAUAUUAUAUAUUAGAAAUUUAGAAAUUAUAUGAAAUCCGUGAAAAAUAUUUACACAUUUGCAGAGAAAAUCCAUAAUGAUAAUAAUCUUUAGUUAAACCUUAUAAACGAUAUUCAGAUAUCCGGUAGCAUACCGCUCGAAUCAAAUCACAUCACCAGUUCAGAGACCCACCCGACAUCAGGAGCUUCACCUGAACCCUGAUACGGAUCCGGGUCAACCCGAUCCAUGCAGUUUUCCUUGCUGAGCUUCUCGAACAUCUUCGCUCGCAGUUCACGACCCGACUCGACCCGUUCCAUCGCCGGUUCUUCCUCCAAACCAUUAUCCCAAAUGUCCAUAUAACCAAUCUCCGGUCGGGACGGGGUAUUUGGUAGGCUCCGAAACCCGGGACCCAAGAGUGAUCCACGUGGCGAUCCAAACCCGGAUCCGUAGCAUCCGACUUGAUUGUUGUAAGAGGAAGGAAGAGACUUCACUUUAUUAAGCUGCAAAUGCCUCAUACACGCGACGAUGUCGUUUACCGAACCCGACCCGAGAGAACGAUUAAAUAAAGAAGAAGACUCUGAGUCGUCUCGUGGACUCACCGGCGGCGAACCGGAGGUCGGAGAAAUCGAAAACUGAAACGCCCUACGAAUCGGAGACACACCGUCGAAAGAAUCAACUCGAUCGGGGCUUUGGUUCGGCAAAACCCUGAUCUGAUCCGGCGAAUGAGCGAAGAAACAAACACGACGGCGACAGUUACCAC